rnacentral:rRNA from 1 species
ACCCGCUGAACUUAAGCAUAUCAAUAAGCGGAGGAAAAGAAACCAACAGGGAUUGCCCCAGUAACGGCGAGUGAAGCGGCAACAGCUCAAAUUUGAAAUCUGGCCUCACGGUCCGAGUUGUAAUUUGCAGAGGAUGUUUCUGGCAAGGUGCCUUCCGAGUUCCCUGGAACGGGACGCCAUAGAGGGUGAGAGCCCCGUCCGGUUGGUCGCCGCGCCUCUGUGAAACUCCUUCGACGAGUCGAGUAGUUUGGGAAUGCUGCUCUAAAUGGGAGGUAUACGUCUUCUAAAGCUAAAUACCGGCCAGAGACCGAUAGCGCACAAGUAGAGUGAUCGAAAGAUGAAAAGCACUUUGAAAAGAGGGUUAAAAAGUACGUGAAAUUGUUGAAAGGGAAGCACUCAUGACCAGACUUGGGCCGGUUGAUCAUCCGUCGUUCUCGGCGGUGCACUCUGCCGGCCCAGGCCAGCAUCAGUUCGUCCCGGGGGAUAAAGGUUUCGGGAAUGUGGCUCCUCCGGGAGUGUUAUAGCCCGUUGCGUAAUACCCUGGGGUGGACUGAGGUUCGCGCUUUCGCAAGGAUGCUGGCGUAAUGGUCUU